AAUGCACCAAUUUGUAAGUCGCUUUGGAUAAGAGCAUCUGCUAAAUGACGUAAA
rfam:Salmo salar isolate Sally breed double haploid chromosome ssa01, whole genome shotgun sequence.